CGUGCCUAAUACAUGCAAGUCGAGCGGAGUUAGAGAAGCUUGCUUCUCUAACUUAGCGGCGGACGGUGUGUAACACGUGGGCAAUCUGCCCGUAAGACUGGGAUAACUCCGGGAAACCGGGGCUAAUACCGGAUAAUCCUGGCUCUCUCCUGAGAGUCAGUUGAAAGAUGGUUUCGGCUAUCACUUACGGAUGAGCCCGCGGCGCAUUAGCUAGUUGGUAGGGUAAUGGCCUACCAAGGCGACGAUGCGUAGCCGACCUGAGAGGGUGAUCGGCCACACUGGGACUGAGACACGGCCCAGACUCCUACGGGAGGCAGCAGUAGGGAAUCUUCCGCAAUGGACGAAAGUCUGACGGAGCAACGCCGCGUGAGUGAAGAAGGUUUUCGGAUCGUAAAACUCUGUUGUUAGGGAAGAACACGUACGAGAGUAACUGCUCGUACCUUGACGGUACCUAACCAGAAAGCCACGGCUAACUACGUG
rnacentral:rRNA from 1 species